rnacentral:rRNA from 1 species
UACGUAGGGGCAAGCGUUGUCCGGAUUUAUUGGGCGUAAAGAGCGUGUAGGCGGCCAUGUAGGUCCGUUGUGAAAACUCGAGGCUCAACCUCGAGACGCCGAUGGAAACCAUGUGGCUAGAGUCCGGAAGAGGAGAGUGGAAUUCCUGGUGUAGCGGUGAAAUGCGCAGAUAUCAGGAGGAACACCGGUGCGAAGGCGGGUCUCUGGGCCGAUACUGACGCUGAGGAGCGAAAGCGUGGGGAGCGAACAG